rnacentral:rRNA from 1 species
GACGAACGCUGGCGGCGCGCUUAACACAUGCAAGUCGAGCGAUGAAAUCUUAACAGAACCCUUCGGGGUGAAGAUAAGACGGAUUAGCGGCUGACGGGUGAGUAACACGUGAGUAACCUGCCUUUUACACAGGGAUAGCCUCAGGAAACCGGGAUUAAAACCUGAUGAAACUAACAAAUCACAUGAUUAAGAAUGUUAAAACUCCGGUGGUAAAAGAUGGACUCGCGUCCCAUUAGCUAGUUGGUGAAGGUAACGGCCCACCAAGGAAACGAUGGGUAGCCGGGCUGGGAGGGUGACCGGCCACAUUGGAACUGAGACACGGACCAAACUCCUACGGGAGGCAGCAGUGGGGAAUAUUGCACAAUGGGGGAAACCCUGAUGCAGCGACGCCGCGUGAGAGAAGAAGGCCUUCGGGUAGUAAAGCUCUUUUAUAUGGGAAGAUAAUGACGGUACCAGAAGAAAAAGCCCCGGCUAACUACGUG